CCUACGGGAGGCUGCAGUGGGGAAUAUUGGGCAAUGGACGAAACUCUGACCCAGCAACGCCGCGUGAAUGAUGAAGGUCUUCGGAUUGUAAAGUUCUUUUCUAAGGGAAGAAGAAAUUGCCGUUACCUUAGGAAUAAGCAUCGGUUAACUACUUGCCAGCAGCCGUGGUAAUAGGUAGGAGGCAAGCUUUAUCCGGAAUGACUGGGCUGAAGGGUUUCGUAGGUGGUUUGACAAGUUGGUAGCGAAACUCCGGGGCCCAACCACGGAACUACCACCGAAACUGUCGGGCUUGAGUGCAGGGGGGGCAGGUGGAAUUCCUAGUGUAGCGGUGGAAUGCGUAGAUAUUAGGAGGAACACCAGUGGCGAAGGCGAUUUGCUGGACUGUAACUGACACUGAGGCACGAAAGCGUGGGGAGCAAACAGGAUUAGAUACCCUUGUAGUC
rnacentral:rRNA from 1 species